CAUGCAAGUCGAACGAGCAAGAGAGAGCUUGCUUUCUCGAGCGAGUGGCGAACGGGUGAGUAACGCGUGAGGAACCUGCCUCAAAGAGGGGGACAACAGUUGGAAACGACUGCUAAUACCGCAUAAGCCCACGGUGCCGCAUGGCACAGAGGGAAAAGGAGCAAUCCGCUUUGAGAUGGCCUCGCGUCCGAUUAGCUAGUUGGUGAGGUAACGGCCCACCAAGGCAACGAUCGGUAGCCGGACUGAGAGGUUGAACGGCCACAUUGGGACUGAGACACGGCCCAGACUCCUACGGGAGGCAGCAGUGGGGAAUAUUGCACAAUGGGGGAAACCCUGAUGCAGCGACGCCGCGUGGAGGAAGAAGGUCUUCGGAUUGUAAACUCCUGUUGUUGGGGAAGAUAAUGACGGUACCCAACAAGGAAGUGACGGCUAACUACGUGCCAGCAGCCGCGGUAAAACGUAGGUCACAAGCGUUGUCCGGAAUUACUGGGUGUAAAGGGAGCGCAGGCGGGAAGACAAGUUGGAAGUGAAAUCUAUGGGCUCAACCCAUAAACUGCUUUCAAAACUGUUUUUCUUGAGUAGUGCAGAGGUAGGCGGAAUUCCCGGUGUAGCGGUGGAAUGCGUAGAUAUCGGGAGGAACACCAGUGGCGAAGGCGGCCUACUGGGCACCAACUGACGCUGAGGCUCGAAAGUGUGGGUAGCAAACAGGAUUAGAUACCCUGGUAGUCCACACCG
rnacentral:rRNA from 1 species